AGUGGCGCACGGGUGAGUAACGCGUAGGUGAUCUACCCAUGGGACGGGGAUAACUUACCGAAAGGUGAGCUAAUACUCGAUGUAGUCGAGGGACUAAAGUGAUGAUGAGUCAGCCCAUGGAUGAGCCUGCGUCCCAUUAGCUAGUUGGUGGGGUAAAGGCCUACCAAGGCGACGAUGGGUAGCUGGUCUGAGAGGAUGGCCAGCCACACUGGAACUGGAACACGGUCCAGACUCCUACGGGAGGCAGCAGUGAGGAAUAUUGGACAAUGGGGGCAACCCUGAUCCAGCAACGCCGCGUGAGUGAUGAAGGCCUUCGGGUUGUAAAGCUCUGUUGAUGGGGAAGAAGGCAGUGACGGUACCCAUCGAGGAAGCACCGGCUAACUCCGUGCCAGCAGCCGCGGUAAUACGGAGGGUGCAAGCGUUGUUCGGAAUUACUGGGCGUAAAGGGGGCGUAGGCGGUUUGUUAAGUCAAAUGUGAAAGUCCACGGCUUAACUGUGGAAGUGCAUUUGAGACUGUCAGGCUAGAGUUUCGGAAGGGAAAGUGGAAUUCCUGGUGUAGGAGUGAAAUCCGUAGAUAUCAGGAGGAAUACCGGUGGCGAAGGCGACUUUCUGGACGAAUACUGACGCUGAGGCCCGAAAGCGUGGGGGAGCAAAACAGGAUUAGAUACCCUGGUAGUCCACGCCCUAAACGAUGGACACUACGUGCACGUGGUAUUGAAUCCGUCUGUGCCGUCGCUAACGCAUUAAGUGUCCGCCUGGGGAGUAUGGCCGCAGGUUGACACU
rnacentral:rRNA from 1 species